rnacentral:rRNA from 1 species
CCCGAUGGAGCAAUACUCCAUCAACCAUGACUGAAUACAUAGGUCAUGGUGGGGAACCGCCUGAACUGAAACAUCUAAGUAGGGCGAGGAAGAGAAAUCAACCGAGAUUCCGCUAGUAGUGGCGAGCGAACGCGGAAGAGGCCAAACCAAGAGUAGUAAUACUUUUGGGGUUCGGACUGAGGACGGUAUUGACAAGAGUUAGUAGAAUGAAAUGGGAAGUUCAACCAUAGAGUGUGAGAGUCACGUAUACGAAAACUUAAGUCAGCCAUCAGUAUCCAGAGUACCGCCGGACACGUGAAACCCGGUGGGAAUACGGGGGGACCACCCUCCAAGCCUAAAUACUCACCAAUGACCGAUAGUGUAUAGUACUGUGAAGGAAAGGUGAAAAGAACCCCUGGCGGGGAGUGAAAAAGAACCUGAAACCUUGUGCCUACAAGCACAUAGAGCACGUCAACGUGUGAUAUGGUACCUUUUGUAGAAUGGUCCGGCGAGUGAAUGUCACUAGCGAGGUUAAGAACUUAAGGUUUGCAGCCGAAGCGAAAGCGAGUCUUAAUAGGGCGAGUUUAGUUAGUGGUAUUCGACCCGAAACCGAGUGACCUAGCCAUGAGCAGGCUGAAGUGGAGGUAAAACUCCAUGGAGGGCCGAACCCACUCCCGUUGAAAUGGUAGGGGAUGACUUGUGGCUAGCGGAGAAAUUCCAAUCGAACUCGGAGAUAGCUGGUUCUCUCCGAAAUAGCUUUAGGGCUAGCCUCAAUUAACAUUACCGCAGGUAAAGCACUGAAUGGGCUAGGGGGCGAAAGCUUACUGAACCCUAUCAAACUCAGAAUGGCGGAUAAUGAAUAAUUGGGAGUCACACUACGUGAGAUAAGUUUCGUGGUGGAAAGGGAAACAGCCCAGACCCACAGCUAAGGUCCCAAAGUACAGUUAAGUGGAAAAGGAUGUGAAGUUGCGCAGACAACCAGGAUGUUGGCUCAGAAGCAGCCACUCAUUUAAAGAGUGCGUAAUAGCUCACUGGUCGAGUGAUUUUGCGCCGAAAAUUUAACGGGGCUAAACUGUACACCGAAGCUUGGGAAUAUACCAUAUGGUAUGUUGGUAGGAGAGCGUCGUAUGCGGGGUGAAGUCGUAGCGAAAGCGGCGGUGGACUGCAUAGGAGUGAGAAUGCCGGAAUGAGUAGCGAGAAUUAUGUGAGAAUCAUAAUGGCCGAAAGACUAAGGUUUUAGAAGGAAGGUUCGUCCGCUUCUAGUUAGCCGGGAGCUAAGGCGAGGCCGAAAGGCGUAGUCGAUGCACAUACGGUUGAGAUUCCGUAGCCACCUUAAAUUUAAACUAAGGGACACAUUGAAAGGGAAUAACCCAGGCGUUGGUUGACCUGGGCGUAAGGGAACGAAAAUAAGUAGUGAAGUAUUCUUGGACAGUGGCGAGAAAAGCUUAGUGUAUAUUAUUAGGGUGCCCGUACUGCAAACCGACACAGGUAGUCAGGAAGAGAAUUCUAAGGCCAUCGGGAGAAGCGUUGUUAAGGAACUCGGCAAAUUGACCCCGUAACUUCGGAAUAAGGGGUGCUCACGAGAGUGAGCCGCAGUGAAUAGGUCCAGGCAACUGUUUAUCAAAAACACAGCUCUCUGCUAAAUCGUAAGAUGACGUAUAGGGGGUGACACCUGCCCGGUGCUGGAAGGUUAAGAGGAGGAGUGCAAGCCCCGAAUCGAAGCCCCAGUAAACGGCGGCCGUAACUAUAACGGUCCUAAGGUAGCGAAAUUCCUUGUCGGGUAAGUUCCGACCCGCACGAAUGGUGUAACGACUUGUGAGCUGUCUCAACAGGGGGCCCGGUGAAAUUGAAGUAUGGGUGAAGAUGCCCAUUACCCGCGACUGGACGGAAAGACCCCGUAGAGCUUUACUGCAGCCUGAUAUUGAGUUUCGGUAACUGAUGCACAGGAUAGGUGGGAGUCUGAGAGACACGGGUUUCGGCUCGUGUGGAGACGCUGUUGGGAUACCACUCUUCGGUUACUGAAAUUCUAACAUAGCUCUGUGAAACCAGAGGAUGGACAGUGUCAGGUGGACAGUUUGACUGGGGCGGUCGCCUCCGAAAGAGUAACGGAGGCGCCCAAAGGUACCCUCAGAAUGGAUGGAAACCAUUCGAAGAGCGCAAAGGCAGAAGGGUGCCUGACUGCGAGAUUGACAAAUCGAGCAGAGACGAAAGUCGGGCUUAGUGAUCCGGCGGUAUUGAGUGGAAAAGCCGUCGCUUAACGGAUAAAAGCUACCUCGGGGAUAACAGGCUGAUCUCCCCCAAGAGUCCACAUCGACGGGGAGGUUUGGCAC